GCCAAAAACACCAGUUCUCAUUCAAUCACCAAAGUUAAGCAGCACUGAUGUUAGUCAGUAUUUAGAUGAGGGACCAUUUGGGAACACCAGGUAUUGCAA